rnacentral:lncRNA from 1 species
UGUUCCACAAGACAAGGAAGCCUUAUCCGACAGGGGAUCAUAUUGAUUUCCUAAUAUCUUGGAUAUUCCUACGGUCUAGGGAUAGGUAUGCGCUAAGUAAUCACAAUCCUGAAAGAAGCAAUAUCUGAUGCAAGAUAUCUUUUAGGAUUCUUUCUGUUUAAUAUGAAUCUAUAUCGUAAAAAGACUCUUCUGACAUGUAUAAAUACUCAUUUUUAGAGCAUAUCACUAGUAAUGCAUACUUGCCCUCUUGCCCAUUACUUGAGUUCUAAGAUUUAUACUGACUUGACCCUCAGAGAGACUUUGGCCGAUACCACAUUGGUACAUUAGGUUAUAAUCACAGUUGUUUUUUCUUGUUUGUAGGCGGCCGAUCUUGCACAACUUAACCAUCUACGAUGGUGCAUGAUUUUGGUCUCAACAAUUGGUGCUUUCAUUAAGAGCCAAAUUCUUGUACUCACUGUAAUCUAGUACUCACCGUGUCCAUGAUGUUGGAAAUGUGCCCUAAAACCAAUUAUAUGAUGAUACUUUACGGACAUUUCACAUGUUAAACUAAUCUAGUUUAAUAUCAAGGGCAAAGAUUAUUGUUUGAGCCGUCUCAUAUAAAUGUUAUACACUUAAACGAUAAGUCCAAGGAAUAUGUGAUUGGGAGAAUACGAUCUAAAGAAGUUAGAUUCAUGAGACCAUUCUUUCGUAGACACAUCCUAAACGUUCCUGAUCAUAGGAUUGCCAAUUGGGCAUUGACAGUCCGUUAAGAUCAGUACGUGCUGUGUCUUCUCUCAGGGAGAGUGACUAGUCUCGAGUCAUUGGUGUGUGUAACAUCAAGACAAGUACGUAGGUGCUCAAUAGAGAAUGAGUUCACUGAACACGAUCAACAAAGAGUUCUCAUAUUCAUGUCACAUGAGAACUCAUGGUUGGGAUAAUGCAAAGUAGUCCUUUGACCUGAGGCAUCAUAGUUGUCUUAUGGUUAGGUACUUGAUCUUUGAUUAUGUCAAAGUCACCCCAUCCGCGGGUGUCUACGGCAUCGUCGGGGUUAAGCCACUUAGCCAUGGAGGCAAGUGAAUGCGCAACAAGGGAUCUCUAACCUUCAAACUGUUUGAGGGAGAAUACUCUAUGAUAUGAUUAAGAAUCUCUGGCCAGAGUAUGAAUGAUAUUUAGGAAGUCGUUCCAAAUCACAUUCAAGGUAAUCAUAUAAGCACGAAUCACAUUGGAUAGUAGACAUGAAUAAACUAUCAAUCCAAACAAUGUGAUCAAGAGUAUUGUAUUAGAGAAAGACCGUAUUGCAUUGUAAUCCUAAAUUGAAUAGGUUCUCCACCUCUUCUGAUUAGCUUGGGUAACCAUGACAUACUGCUAGGUGUCACUCAUGAUUUGUGGAAGCCCUAAACGUGUAUAAUCACUAAAGGGAGAAUUGAAAGUAAGUUUCAAUUCACAAUCGAUUUGAAAGAGUUUUAAUCGCCCACUGCCUCGCUAAAAGGAACCUAACGGAUCGUACACCGUGUGAGGCAUAGAUUGAAGAAACAAUGGAGAUGAGUAAGAAUAAUUAAAUGGUUUAAUUAUUUAUGGCAAGGAUUAAUUAAUAUGUUAAUUAAUCAAACGAAUCAAGUUCGUUAAAAAGACCAUGGGUUAGUUUUGGGCCUCAAGGCCCAAUGGGCUUCGAACGUCAAGCCCAUUGACUUAAGUUGUAUGACAACUUAAUGACAAAUAAUUCACAAAGGCCUUAAAAGCCCAAUGAAACCCUAUGGCCGGCCAUUUUGUUAAAGGAGUGGGUUUUGGACUUAAUUACAAGUUUGCCACUCCAAUGAAUAAAGGUAUAAAUAUGACUUUAUAGCCAAAAUUCAUUUAGGGUUUUCUUUUGGGGAAAGGAUGAGAACAUAAGCUCUCCUUUCUCUCUAAAGUGGCCGGCCUCCUUUGAGGGUUUAGCUAGCAAUCCUACUACUCCAAGGUCACUCAUUUCUUCUUCAAUCUAACCUUGGUGAAGAGACUUAGAGGUUCUCAAUUUUGGGAACUUGGAGAACCAUUUCAUCCAUCCAAAUCCAUAGAUCUAAGAUGCAAGGAAUGAAGGCCCUCUCUUUGGGUGAUUAGCCUUUGCUUAUGCAAAGAGGAAUCUACAAAGGAAUAAUUUCUCAACUAACAAAUGUUGUUUUAAGUUGAGUCAAGGUUCACCAAUCUACUAGGCUUUGAAUUUCAUGGUUAAUGUUUUGUUUUUAAGUGCAUACAAGCAUGAUUCCGCCUUUUAAUUGUUAAUUGCAUGCUAUAGAUGUUGCUUAAAUUAACAUGUUUUUCACAAAACUUCCUUCAAGUGGUAUCAGAGCCUAGUUCUAGUAGUUGGUGAAUCCUUUUGGGUUUUGUAGUUCAUAGUCUUUGAUUCAAAUGUUGUAAUAUGUUACAAGCUUUAUUCUUGCUUCUUUGAAUGUAAAUUUUGUUAGAAAAUUUGCCAUCUCAAAUGUUGUAGAUGUAGUUCAUAUGAGCAUGAAUAUUGGAGCUAAAAUUUGAUGCCAUGUUUUUGGGAAUUUUCGGCCAAAUCCAAAUGGUGGAUUUUUGGGUUCUUGUUUGACUUGUUAAAAGUGUUUUCAAGUAACUUUUGGAACCCCUAUGUACCCUAGUUUGGUUAUAUGUUAUUUCCCUUAAGUUUGAGUGUUUUUGGGAUGUCUAUGAAAAAUGUUCAUGAAGCUUUUAUGGGUUUUUCAUGAAUGUUCUUCAUUGUUCUUGACAUUUUAGCCAAGAACAAAAAGUUUGGUGUUUUGAUUCAAAGUUUUGAUUUAUUUCAUAAAGUCUUUGUUUUGUGCUUUAUCAAAUGUUUUAAUGUGAUUGAAAUUUUGAAAGGUGAUAGAAAUGGUGAUGGGUGUGUAAGAAGUACUUCUCUUACACACACAGCACUUGCAUGAAUUUAUGUCACACACACCACUUGCAUGGCUUUAUGACUUUGUUGAAAAGUUUUCAAAAUUUUGCAUUCCUCACUCUAUCUAAAACCGGCCACCCUACAAGUGGGGUGCUUUUGGGGCUUUUAUGCAGUUACAUAAAGUUUUGGUACUUUGUGUAUUUGCAACUUUGGCCCAAAAGUUUACGUAUUUACGUAAAGGCCCAAAAUCAUUAAAGGACAAAUUGUUUUGUUCCUUUAAUGAUGUUUUUCAAUUUGUUGAAAUUUUUGGGUUCUAGUUGUGAUUACAUGAAGUAGUGGACUUUUGUGUUUUUACAAAAUGAGCUCAAAAGUUUAAGUUUUGCAACAUAGCCCAAAAAGUUGAGGUUAUUGCAUUUUGGCCCAAAUUAGGAUGAGAACAAAAUGGUUUUGUCUCUUUAAAUGAGAAUUGGAUUUUCAUUUCAUUUAGCUCCAUUUAAAUCAAUUUUAUGGAUACAAAAACCAAAUGAAAAUGUUGCAUUCAAUUUAAUUAGUUAAAGUGUUAAUUAAUUAAAGGGUGAUUAUGAAUCUAAGCCUACGAUAAUUGAGCUAUGUGAAAGGCCGUUUCAAAUUUGUUUGAACCAUGGGAAUGUGUAGAUUAGAUUUUGGUUGUAAUUUGAUUUGAUCAUAUGUUGUAAAAGAGCAUAAGCUCUUCUUUACUUUAAAGUAAUUUGUAUUAUUCAAAUGUUGUAAAGAGCAUAAGCUCAUCUUUACUUUGAAGUACUCAUUUCUUGUAUUAUUUGAUAUGCAUGAAAAUGGAGUAGAGGGUCCAACGCCCAUAAGACAACACGCCUUAAUGUGAUUAAACGCGUAACUAAAAUCAAUCACCAUCCCUAAACCGAGAUUCAACACUAGGUUCGUGUUGAAUCUAAACAAAGGUUCAUAGUC